rnacentral:rRNA from 1 species
AUUGAACGCUGGCGGCAGGCCUAACACAUGCAAGUCGAGCGGAUGAAGGGAGCUUGCUCCUGGAUUCAGCGGCGGACGGGUGAGUAAUGCCUAGGAAUCUGCCUGGUAGUGGGGGAUAACGUCCGGAAACGGGCGCUAAUACCGCAUACGUCCUGAGGGAGAAAGUGGGGGAUCUUCGGACCUACCGCUAUCGGAUAGCCCUAGGUCGGAUUAGCUAGUUGGUGGGGUAAAGGCCUACCAAGGCGACGAUCCGUAACUGGUCUGAGAGGAUGAUCAGUCACACUGGAACUGAGACACGGUCCAGACUCCUACGGGAGGCAGCAGUGGGGAAUAUUGGACAAUGGGCGAAAGCCUGAUCCAGCCAUGCCGCGUGUGUGAAGAAGGUCUUCGGAUUGUAAAGCACUUUAAGUUGGGAGGAAGGGCAGUAAGUUAAUACCUUGCUGUUUUGACGUUACCAACAGAAUAAGCACCGGCUAACUUCGUG